GACAGAGGGUGCAAACGUUGUUCGGAAUUACUGGGCAUAAAGCGCACGUAGGUGGUCCGCUAAGUCGCGUGUGAAAUCCCCCGGCUCAACCGGGGAAUUGCGCGCGAUACUGGCGGGCUAGAGAUCGGGAGGGGUGAGUGGAACUCCAGGUGGAGCGGUGAAAUGCGUAGAUAUCUGGAGGAACACCGGUGGCGAAAGCGACUCACUGGCCCGACACUGACACUGAGGUGCGAAAGCUAGGGUAGCAAACGGG
rnacentral:rRNA from 1 species